UGGCAGACCUUUGGAAGGAAAAAUUCUAGAAUGCAACGGGUAUAUUGGUGAUGUGGUAUAACAAAUCAAUCAAAUGUCUUCUUUUAGGGAUAUAUGCCCCAUCAUGAUUAUAAAAAAAAUAUUUUUAUUGUACUUUUGUUUGAAAAUAAGAAAUAUGAUUGGCUUGUUAUUGAUGACAUGGUGCAAGUGCGACAGUGUAGAAUU
rnacentral:lncRNA from 1 species